ACACGUUUUUCACAGAGUGUUGUUUAAAUUACCAUUGAGAGGUCAUGGUAAAUUUCAAGGUGAUCAUUGCUGGGACUUUGCUUAUAUUCAGGUUUCCAGUUAAGAAAUGAUACUGUCCCAACCAAUGCUAAUCUCAUCAUGUCUGGACAGCAACCUGAAAAAGACAUCACUGUGCACCUAGCAUUGAUGGUAAUGGCAGACAUUGCUGGUAUGUUUCCGGGUAAGUGAGGCUGUGGCCCUAAAUCACAGCACAGGCCAUCUGAUCUCCAGAUAGUUAGGUAAGUGUUGACGGUGUCCCUAAGAGUUGUUACCAUGAUUUCUUUGCAGGUGUUCAGGUAGGAAUUGAUAGUCCUUACUAAUUAUAGAAACCAUGAGUUUUACUUUUUACAUUUUAGGAAAGAUUUUUGUUUAACCUUGUGAGUAAUGAGGGAUUGCCAUAUCGAGGUAAUUAACAUUGUAUCCUCAACCGCAGCAAUAACCAACGAUUUUGGAGGUGUCCCAUGGAGAAAUAUUGUCUUAUCUGGUGAUGAUUUUGACCUUGGAGUACUACAAGUGUUUAGGUAUAGUUGAUAUGUCUCAGAAUGAUAAACUGACCAAGGUUAUUUACAGGUGUCCUGGUAGAACAAGUUGUGUCCCUUUACACGUAGAUCAUGUGUUUUUCAGGUUCCUGUCGGAAGACUUCAAUGAAUCUGAUGAUGGUCGGUAAAGGGGGUAUGUUUCUGGUAUCCGGAUAUCUGAUGAGGUGUACUUUCACUACAUCAGACCCUCUGAUCUUCAUGAGUCUUUUGCCAUUAAAUUUUGUUGAUUACUUGAAUUUGUUUUACCAUGCAGGUUUUUUUUUAAGGCAUUCAGGCAGAAAUGAUAGCGUUUUUACCAAUUCUAGCAAACCUAUUAUCUAAGUUUUUUGUGUUUUAGAGGAAAUUUACAUAAAACCAUGUGAA